rnacentral:rRNA from 1 species
CACGUAGGGCGCAAGCGUUUGUCCGGAAUUAUUGGGCGUAAAGAGCUCGUAGGCGGUCUGUUGCGUCCGCUGUGAAAACUCGGGGCUUAACCCCGAGCCUGCAGUGGAUACGGGCAGACUAGAGGUAGGUAGGGGGAGAAUGGAAUUCCCGGUGUAGCGGUGAAAAUGUGUAGAGAUCGGGAGGAACACCGGUGGCGAAGGCGGGGUCUCUGGGCAAUUCCUGACGCUGAGGCGCGAAAAGCGUGGGGGAGCAAACAGGG